UUUUUUUUUUUUUUUUUGCUUUUUAGGGCCAUACCCAAGGCAUAUGGAGGUUCCCAGGCUAGGAGUCGAAUUGGAGCUGUAGCUGCUGGGCUACACCACAGCCACAGCAACACAGGAUCCGAGCCACAUCUGCAACCUACACCACAGCUCAUGGCAAUGUGGGAUCCUUAACCCACUGAGCAAGGCCAGCGAUCGAACCUGCAUCCUCAUGGAUGCUAGUCAGAUUUGUUAACUGCUGAGCCAGGACAGGAACGCUGGCCAUGAACUUUCAAUUUAGAUUCAUACAAGUCUUCUCUCAGCCUUGAUUGUCUCUGGUAAGGCCUCAAUGACAUCAUUGCCAAUUCUGGCACUUGGAAUACCCGAGAUCAUUAUCUUAGGCAACAAUUACACAGCUGCACCGCACUCACGGUUCUAAAAUGCUUCCAUUUAAAAAUAUUUCAAAUGCCAAAAAUUUAAGCAAUCACCGUGUGCCUUAAAUAUCUUGCAUCCAACUUAUUACAGAGCUGAAUCAAGAUGGGAAGGAAGAAGCAUCUAUUACAUGACGUGGAUGCUUGGCUAAAAUGCAAAUAACAAACCUACCCUUCUUACCAUGUGUUUUGCCCUUGAAUCCAGGAAGUAGAAGGGCUUGGAGCCACAGAAACUAUGUAACUUAAUCAAUAUUUAAUAAAUAAAUAGCAUAAUACCUGGACUUCUUUAGGUACUAGGCGAUAUAGUAGUGGACUAAACACACAAAGAUCCAUAUCCUCCAUGAGCUUGUAUUUGAGUGGGUGGAGACACACAAUAACCAAAGUAAACAAAAUGGAAAUUAGUAAACAAUGUAAAUAAAUAAAUCAGUAUGAUAAUGUUAUGUGAUGGCACAGUGUCUGGAGUCAAACAGCUUGGGGUCAAGGCUCCACCACUUACAAGCUAUAUGACUUAUUUAACAUUUAUGUGCCUCAGUUUCCUCAUCUGUAAAAUGGGGUUAAUAAAAUCUUUGUAGGUUUAUCAGGAACCAAUGCCCAGCAUUCUGAAAACUGCCAAGGGACCAUGUGGCUGAUGAGGAGACUGCGAGAGAGAGGGGUCAUGGAUUGGUACUCUUUACAAGGAAAGCCUAAGACAGGAACUCAGGUAUCCAUGAUUUAUUUGAGGAUGUGCUCUCAGGAAAAAGGGAGAGAGGACAGUGGAAGAGAGCAGAUGGAGCCUCAGCAGGUGCAGCCUGGCCCAUGGGAAGCUCUGGAGCAUGAAUUGCACUGCAGAGGCAUCCCCUCCUUGAGACCAGUGGGCUGGCCUUUUGUACCCUCAAAUCAGUGAGUCAUUGGCAGCAGACUGCCAGGGAGAUAGUUUCUCCAUCCCCUUGCACUGCUCUUAUAAAAAACACAGAUCGGGUAGCUUAUAAACAACAGAAAUUUAUUUGUCACAGUUGUGGAGGCUGGAAGUCUGGGAUCAAAAUACUGGCAUGAAAGGGGAGGGCCUGUUCUGGGCUGUAGAUUUCUCCUUGCAGUGUUGGCAUCUGGUGGAAGGCUUUGGGGAUUUCUGUGGGGUCUCUUUUAUAAGGGUACUAAUCCCAUCCACGUGGGCACCACCCUCAUGGCCUAAUCAUCUCCCAAAGGACCCACCGUUGCAUCAUGGGUAGGAUCUCAACAUAUGAAGUUUGGGGAGAUGCAAAUGUUCAGACCAGAGCACUGGGCCAAAAUCAAGGUGACAGCAGGGCUGCAUUCCUCUCCGGAGGCUCCAGGCAAAGGCUGAGAAGAGGAGCUGCAGGAAGCUCUUUCUGCCUUAUCUCCACAUCCUCCGUAGUUCAGGUCUGGCUCCAAACCAGCAUGUCCCACCUAUGAACCAACGGCCUUGCAGGAGUUCCCUGGUGGCUCAGCAGGUUAAGGAUCUGGUGUUGUCACUGCUGUGGCUCAGGUUGUUGAUGUGACAUGGGUUUGGUCCCUGGCCCUGGAACUUUCUCAUGCCACCCAUGGCCAAAAAAAAAAGCGAAAUCCUUGCAGGGAGACAUGAUGGGACAGUGACAGCCCCAUAUCCUCAGAGGCAACCACAGGAAAAAUUCGAGCAGUACUUUGUGUGUGUUUUUAGGGCCACACCUGUGGAAGUUCCCAGGCUAGGGGUCAGAUUGGAGUUGCAGGUGCUGACUUACACCACAGCCACAGCAAUGCCAGAUCCAAGCUGUGCCUGUGACCUACACCAUGACUCACGGCCAUGCCAGAUCCUUAACCCACUGAGCAAGGUCAGGGAUCGAAUCCACAUCUUCAUGGAUACUAGUCAGAUUCGUUUCUGCUGCACCACAAUGGGAACUCCUGCACACGCAUGUGGUAUUUAAGAGGCAGAAAUGCAGCACCAGCCAUUUGAAGGUUGGUAGAGGCAGUUGGAGCUGUCACCGAGGUACCAGUGGGUUCUCAUUUGCUCCCGGUUUUCCCCACUGUAAGUCCAGCUCUUCUUCAUAAAUGCUGUUUUACUGACCAGCAGUGACCCAGACCCAUCAGGAAAUGUCUUUCUGGGAGCUCACAGAGGUAGGAGCCACGGUAAGCCUACAGCCUUCCAGAGACCUCUCUCUGCCAGCCUCUCCCGCCACCGCUUUUACCUCCAUCCAGCUGGUCCACCUGCACCACGUAUUUUUCGGACCUUUUCUUCCUCAGCUCCUUCCCAAAGUGUGUAAGGUUUGACUCCGUAAUAAAUUACCUAUC
rnacentral:lncRNA from 1 species